rnacentral:rRNA from 1 species
AACGAACGCUGGCGGCAGGCUUAACACAUGCAAGUCGAACGGUUGUAGCAAUACAGCAGUGGCGCACGGGUGAGUAACGCGUGGAUAUCUGCCUUUUGGUUCGGAAUAACUCCGGGAAACUGGAGCUAAUACCGGAUGGUUCCUGCGGGAUAAAGAUUUAUCGCCAAAAGAUGAGUCCGCGUACGAUUAGCUAGUUGGUGGGGUAAUGGCCCACCAAGGCGACGAUCGUUAGCUGGUCUGAGAGGACGAUCAGCCACACUGGGACUGAGACACGGCCCAGACUCCUACGGGAGGCAGCAGUGGGGAAUAUUGGACAAUGGGGGCAACCCUGAUCCAGCCAUGCCGCGUGAGUGAUGAAGGCCUUCGGGUUGUAAAGCUCUUUUGGCGGGGACGAUGAUGACGGUACCCGCAGAAUAAGCCCCGGCUAACUUCGUGCCAGCCGCCGCCGUAACAC